UACAGAGGUCUCAAGCGUUGUUCGGAUUCAUUGGGCGUAAAGGGUGCGUAGGCGGCGUGGUAAGUCGGAUGUGAAAUCUCGGAGCUUAACUCCGAAACUGCAUUCGAUACUGCCGUGCUUGAGGACUGGAGAGGAGACUGGAAUUUACGGUGUAGCGGUGAAAUGCGUAGAUAUCGAGAGGAACACCAGUGGCGAAGGCGAGUCCCUGGACAGGUCCUGACGCUGAGGCACGAAAGCUAGGGGAGCAAACAGG
rnacentral:rRNA from 1 species